AAAGGUAUAGCUCAAGUGGUGGAGCACAGACUUAGCAUGCACAACGUCCUGGGUUCAAUUCCCAGUACCUUCU
rnacentral:tRNA from 1 species